UCUGUUCGAUGAAGCCGCUUCGGUGGUGGAUUAGUGGCGAACGGGUGAGUAACACGUGGGCAAUCUGCCCUUCACUCUGGGACAAGCCCUGGAAACGGGGUCUAAUACCGGAUAAUACUCCUGCCUGCAUGGGUGGGGGUUGAAAGCUCCGGCGGUGAAGGAUGAGCCCGCGGCCUAUCAGCUUGUUGGUGGGGUAAUGGCCUACCAAGGCGACGACGGGUAGCCGGCCUGAGAGGGCGACCGGCCACACUGGGACUGAGACACGGCCCAGACUCCUACGGGAGGCAGCAGUGGGGAAUAUUGCACAAUGGGCGAAAGCCUGAUGCAGCGACGCCGCGUGAGGGAUGACGGCCUUCGGGUUGUAAACCUCUUUCAGCAGGGAAGAAGCGCAAGUGACGGUACCUGCAGAAGAAGCGCCGGCUAACUACGUGCCAGCAGCCGCGGUAAUACGUAGGGCGCAAGCGUUGUCCGGAAUUAUUGGGCGUAAAGAGCUCGUAGGCGGCUUGUCACGUCGGAUGUGAAAGCCCGGGGCUUAACCCCGGGUCUGCAUUCGAUACGGGCUAGCUAGAGUGUGGUAGGGGAGAUCGGAAUUCCUGGUGUAGCGGUGAAAUGCGCAGAUAUCAGGAGGAACACCGGUGGCGAAGGCGGAUCUCUGGGCCAUUACUGACGCUGAGGAGCGAAAGCGUGGGGAGCGAACAGGAUUAGAUACCCUGGUAGUCCACGCCGUAAACGUUGGGAACUAGUGUUGGCGACAUUCCACGUCGUCGGUGCCGCAGCUAACGCAUUAAGUUCCCCGCCUGGGGGAGUACGCCGCAGCUAAAACUCAAAGGAAUUGACGGG
rnacentral:rRNA from 2 species